rnacentral:rRNA from 1 species
UUUAACGCUGGCGGCAGGCCUAACACAUGCAAGUCGAGCGGAUGAAGGGAGCUUGCUCCUGGAUUCAGCGGCGGACGGGUGAGGAAUGCCUAGGAAUCUGCCUGGUAGUGGGGGAUAACGUCCGGAAACGGGCGCUAAUACCGCAUACGUCCUGAGUGAGAAAGUGGGGGAUCUUCGGACCUCACGCUAUCAGAUGAGCCUAGGUCGGAUUAGCUAGUUGGUGGGGUAAAGGCCUACCAAGGCGACGAUCCGUAACUGGUCUGAGAGGAUGAUCAGUCACACUGGAACUGAGACACGGUCCAGACUCCUACGGGAGGCAGCAGUGGGGAAUAUUGGACAAUGGGCGAAAGCCUGAUCCAGCCAUGCCGCGUGUGUGAAGAAGGUCUUCGGAUUGUAAAGCACUUUAAGUUGGGAGGAAGGGCAGUAAGUUAAUACCUUGCUGUUUUGACGUUACCAACAGAAUAAGCACCGGCUAACUUCGUG